UUGCUGUUACCUGAUGUUGGGAUGCUGUCUUCCUAUUGCUAUCCAGGCCUUACAACUCUGGGGGAGAUAUGGAACCAUGAAGUUAUUCUGCCUAUCUUUGUAUUAUGUAUGGAUGUCCAGCCUCAUAUUCUCCUGGAAUGUGCAUUCAAGGACCACCAGAUGAGCUACACAAUGUUAUAUUAUAGUUCAUUUCUAUGCCGUCUUUUGAGCAAAAAGACCCCCCAGGUGGCUUACAAAGAAUAAGCACAAAUACAAAAUACAAGUAAGAAAAAAUACAAAUUACAACAUUAAGACAAUGAACUUUUAAGAAAACAAAACCUGUGUGCCUAAAAGCCAAAUACAUUAACCUUCCUGGCUAAGGGCAGCCCCCAGAAAGAUGUCAGAAAGAGCAGUAAAUGGUCCUUUUCAGGCACUUCAGGGAGGAUCUUGUAUGCCUGACAUACAAACUCUGUUCUUUCCAGGAAAAGCAAAGAAAUCAGAAGAUCCAGAUAUUGGUCAUCUCCUGGUGCAUUGGGGAGAGUGAAUUGCAUAUCAUCUUCCAUUCACCUGCAUUGCAUCAUUUGGAAUCUCCAUCAGUUGGACCAAAAAUUCCUUCAAGUGCCUGUCCAGAUGGAUCUUAUCUUGAAAGAGGCUCUCUAGGACCAUUGCUUGAUCUGUGCUGUAGACCUCCUUCUAAUGCUUUCAUGAAGCUUAACAGGUACCACCACCACCUCAGCUCUAUUUCCUCUGAACAGAGCAAAGACAGCAGAAGAUCCACUGCUUGGCCUUUUCCCAACGCUGGGGUAGAGACCCAAUGUGAAUCAAGCCGAGCUGCAGAGGAGAAAUGGGGUUAGCAAAACUGGCCUUGCCUCACUUUCCAUGCCAUGACAGAGACCAUAUCUUGCAGACUAGGUACUUCCUUCCUUGACCUCCACAGAACUCCCUCCCCAUCUUGUUCUCCCCCAUCCCCAUGAAUUUCAUCCUCUGCCAUCUCCAUGAGACUGGCCAGCACUUCCCUCUGCUGGUGGUCUGGUUAUGGGCUUCUUCUUCAGGACCUACAGGUGUGUUGGGGCUGAAGCCUGGCAUCCUUCUCCUAUGGGCCUAGCUAGACUUCCCUGAUUCCUGCCACUCUGGCCCAAUGGGCAAUUUCAGAUCCCAGUUGCCUGGAGCUGCCAAAGAGAAGCAGGGGUAGCAAGGCUGAGUUGGUCUUUGAACUGUGUAUAGAGAGGAUCAGCAGUCUGCCUUGAGGAGUCACUGUUUAUCAGAGCUGGAGAAAUGCUGCAGGGUGGGCAGAGAAGCAAGAAGAUCUGGAAAGCAAAGGUGAAGGUCUUCCUCACAGAUGAGAAAGAUUGGAGAAGCCAUAAUCUUCUCCAGUGUUGAAGGAACUAGAAACUAGAUAUGUACCAAGGUUGGGGAAAUGCUCCUUUCUCUACACAAUCCUCUGUCCCACUUCCUCCCCACUCACCUAAACUCCAUCCUCCAGUAUCUCAAUGAGGUUGGCCAGCUCCUCCCUCUGCUGAAUGUCCAGACUAUUGUUCUCCUUGAAUACUUCCUUCAAGGCCCUUGGUUGACCUGGGUUAUCAACAGCCCUCUUCCUUCUCCAAUUCUGUGUGCACAUCCCCAAUCAUGGCUGUUCCUGCCCAGUGGGGGAAAAGGGAGCUGUGAGUUGCUACAAGGUGCAGAAGAAAAGUGGGGUUAGCUAGGUUGGCUUUGCAUUGCUGUGCCCAGAGCACUGGUGCUACACCUUGAGGACCAGUGACUUAAAGGAGAAGGAAUGCUGUGGGAUGGUUGCAGCAUCUGGGGAUGAAGGAGGAGCACCAAAGCUGAGAACCAGAUGUAAUCCUCAGAGAUGUUUGUGAAGUCCACCAGCAUUUCCCACAGCACAAGAUCUGGGCUGCAGUUCACUUUGAAGGUCUCCUCCAGGACACGCAACUAGAAAAUGGAACAAACAGUCCUUGGCCUCCUUGUCUGGGUCUGGCUGGACCUUGCUUCGUUUGGCUGCUCCAGCCCUGUGUCACCAAGUUGGUCCCAGCUGCAGAAUAGAAGCGGAGUUAGCAAGGUUGACUUUACUUCCCUUUGUACAUGAAGAUGACCAGCUACUUACCAGAAUUGGACAAAUGCUGCAAGGUGAACGGAACAGCAUCAGGUAUGCCUGGGCAGAGAGGCGAUGAUCAUGCUCCACAAUGGGGAAGGCAUGGAAAGCCAUCUUCUGCUAAUCUUGUCUGGAGGUGAAGGAAUAGGGCAGAGGACUCACUGGCCCCAUUUCAUGGACUGCCAAAAGGGCAGGGGUCCUUGGCUCAUGCAUGGAGCUGCCUGGGAAUGGGGACAGAGCCUAGGCCAAGACCACCCCCUCACCGGUAGAGGGUUGUACCUCUUCAUUAACCUCUGGAUGAUAGUUUUUGCUCCUGUCCUAUCCUCUGUUUCUGUGUAACACACCUGAAAUGUGUUAUGAUCCUCAGCCUCGAAGUGGGAGCUUGUGUUUAACAGUAAGUAGGCUGGGAUCUAACUGGAAUCAUUUAGGCUUGUGUGGAGGGUGGAGCAAAGGUCACUCAUCUGUAUUCUUGGAUGCGAUGGUUCCAGUACUGCAGGGCUUAUGCUGUCUGUUCUUUCAAAACUGGAGGG